UCAAAAACAUGUCCUAUUGAUGAAUUUAUAUUAGGUCAAACCUGCCCACUGAUAGUAUUAUUGAAGGGCCGCAGUAAUUUGACUGUGCGAAGGUAGCAUAAUCAUUUGUCUAUUAAUUGUAGGCUUGUAUGAAUGGUUUGAUGAAAUGUUUACUUUCUUUAUAUAAAUAUGAUAAAUUUAAUAUUUGAGUUAAAAAGCUUAAAUGUUUAUGGAGGACGAGAAGACCCUAUAGAGUUUUACUAUUAUGGACUUAUUACUUUUUUGGUUAUUUAUAAUGUUAAAUAAUGUGAUGAUAGUUUUGUUGGGGCGACAUGGAGAUUUAUUUAACUCUCUAUUUAUAUGAUAUAUUUAUUUAUAUUUUAAGGAUCCCUUAUUUAGGAUUAAAAGAUUAAACUACCUUAGGGAUAACAGCGUAAUUUUUAUGGAGAGUUCUUAUUGAUAUAAAAGUUUGCGACCUCGAUGUUGGAUUAAAUUAAGAUUUGGGUGUAGAAGCUCAAUUUUCUAGGUCUGUUCGACCUUUAAUUAUUUACAUGAUCUGAUUUUCAACCGGGA
rnacentral:rRNA from 1 species